AUGCACACUUACCCAUCAAAAUCAUUUCGUAGCUUCUCUUUCUUUCUAGAUUCAAAUUCUCUUUUUCUUUCUCUCUUUCCCGUUCCCUCUUCUUCCCUUACAUUCCCCAAUCUCUUCUUAUCCUCUCUUCAAACCCUAACAAUAUCGCAGCCCCUUCCUCCAAUCCUACUUACGACCAUCACACAUAUGCCGUCAACGUUUCUGUUUCUUUUUCCACUCCACCGCGCAGGACCUAACGAUAACCACCAGUUUCAGAUGUAACACAGGUAAAAUGAUUGUAUUUAUUCGGGGCACAUCCAGAUCUUUUCAUUGGAGGUUUUUCUAUACUUCAAAUGGGCAAGAUUGAGAACAACGAUAUAAGUAAGGAGAUGGACAUAAAUAUUAUCAAGCAAAACAAUCAGGGAGCUUGGUAUUAGAACUGAACCAUGCAGUCUUCUUUGUUAGGUAUUUUUUAUACCAACUGUGUUAUGGAAAAUGUUCCUAUAGUUAACAAUCUGGUAUAGCAUUCCAAUACUUUUAUUUAAUGUGUUUUUUCCUGCAUAUCAUCAAACAAUUAUAAGAGGAUGUGAUUGUACAAACUCAAAUAUACACAUGAUUUUGUUUGAUUCAGAAUGAAUAUCAAAGGUAGUAUUAGUGCUAUUGUUGUUAGUUGGAUAUUCGAUUAUAUUUUGAUGUAUGAAUUGAAAUUCCGAACGUUAAAAAUUUCAUUUUGUUAUUCAUAAAGCUGUUGAAAAGUAUUUUUCCGGCAAAUAUUUUUGUAUCGUAUCCACAGAGAUUGGGUGAUAUUACCGCCGUUCUAUAGUUUCAAUCGUUUCAAGUUUGAUAAAUAAAGGUGGUUUGGUUUGGUUUGUUUGAAAUUGUUCUUGACUUUCUAAGCAUAAGUAAGAUAGUAAAAAGUUGGUUUUCUCAAUUAAAAAUGAACUUUGCCAAGAUUAGGGCUCACCAUUCCAAACUCAAGUAUUAUCUCAAACCAAGUAUGUGAAAUCUAAUAUCAUGAAUAAUCUAGUGUCCUCUCAAUACUCUUAUGUCUAAGUAGUAUUGUGAUGCUUGAUAAAAUAAAUCUUUGGCAAUUUCUUAACUCAAAAACCCAUUCUAACAAUCUUUCUUAUCAACACUUAAUAGAAAAACAACUAUAUAAACCUAUGUCUAGGAUUUAUAAAUCAUUUGAAUGAAUCUUUAGGACAUAAUUUAUAUUACCUAUUUCUACAAUAAUAUAAACCAAUGAUAUGAGUUCAAUGCAAAAGAAACAUUCUACAUUCAUUCAAUAGGAUUCACAUACACAAGUGUUUAAGAAGAAUACAUAGAGAAUAUGGAAUGGCUACCUCUAAUCUUGACAAAGAAAUGGAGUUAGCUCCUCAAAGCCAUGGUUACAAACUCUCAAGAAUAGUGAUUUUCGUUUUUGCUCUUAAUCUCACUUUGCUCUCUAUUGUUUUUUUGCAGAAUAUGGAAUGAAUAAUCGUUUCUCCUUGAAAACUAGAGAGAUAUAUUCAAUACACAAUUUGGUUUUCUAAUAAGACAAAAGAAAUGAUUGUUGUUUUCUUUGCCUCUCUUAACACCCAAUAGAAGAUAAUAGCCCCAAAAGUGCUUGCUUGUUGUCUUUCACGCCACCACAUCAUAUGCCUCAUAAAAGUCAGAUUUGAAACAUCAAAACGCACAUGCUGAAAUCGCUCAGUUUGCGGCGCCAAUAGGAGGACACGGCGCCAACUGAGCUGACUUGGAGACUUUGGAAAUUGACUCAGUUCGCGGCGCCAAUAGAUGUUUGCGGCGCGUCCUGAGUGCUUUGUCACUCCUUGGCUUGAUUUCUUGACUUCUUUGCUUGCCACCACUUUAUCAUUCCUCAAAACAACUCUUGAGAUUAACAAAUCUACAAAACUAGCAAAAAAAAUGUGAAAUACCUACUCACUUCAAAUAAGAACAAGAAAAAUUACAUAUUUGCAUAAUGUGUGAUUAAAACAUGUGAUUUGCAUCAAAAAGUGAUUAAAGGGACCAAUAAAAAGAUAUGAAAUACACUACAAUUUGGUCCCUAACAAAAGCAUUAGUUUGUUUUAUAGAAUUUGAAUGAAUCCUUUGACAUAGAAGAAAAUAAAUUAUGAGAAUUUGAGUUAAAUUUAGAGAGAUUAAGGAAGAAUUUGAGUUUGAAAAGGUUUUUCAUCAUGUAAAAAGUAAAGAAUGUCUUUUUUUUUAAGGUGAAACUACUUCUAAGGUCUGCAAUGUAAAGGCACAAUGUAUGGAUCAAACCGACACAAGCUACACAUUCACCUAUGUCUCCUUCCUUCAUUGCAAUUGUUCUUCUUCUUUCUACAAGUCUCACCGGUUUUUAUAUUUUUGGGCUCUGAAUUUUUUCUCAGGUAUAGCAACACUGCAACAAUCAUGCUGAAAUAGUAUCUAAAGAUGCUUAUUAUAGGUUGAUGGAAGAUUUACUUUUUAUAGAGUUAUUGAUGUGAAAUUGUUCAAUGCUUCAUGUUCUUCUACUAUUUUCUAAGUGAUUGAUGAAGGCUUUAGUCCCAACAUUCCGAUACCAGAACUUGCAUCAAGUAAAUAGACUUUGAAAGUGUUCAAAGGAGAUAAUUGGAACCAUGUUUAGAAGUAUCUUACACUGAAAAGCAUGUGAUUGAUGGAUACAAUAGAGAACUUGCAAAUCAUGUUAAAGCAGUUUUUAAUUAUUCA